GGCAGGAUAGCUCAGUUGGUUAGAGCAGACGACUCAUAUUCGUCAGGUCGGAGGUUCGAAUCCUCUUCCUGCUACCA
rnacentral:tRNA from 1 species